rnacentral:rRNA from 1 species
UACAGAGGGGGCAAGCGUUGUUCGGAAUUACUGGGCGUAAAGGGCGCGUAGGCGGCCUGCUAAGUCGAACGUGAAAUCCCCGGGCUUAACCCGGGAACUGCGUCCGAUACUGGUGGGCUUGAAUCCGGGAGAGGGAUGUGGAAUUCCAGGUGUAGCGGUGAAAUGCGUAGAUAUCCGGAGGAACACCGGUGGCGAAGGCGGCUUCCUGGACCGACACUGACGCUGAGGCGCGAAAGCUAGGGGAGCAAACGGG